rnacentral:rRNA from 1 species
GAUGAACGCUGGCGGCGUGCCUAAUACAUGCAAGUCGAGCGAACAGACGAGGAGCUUGCUCCUCUGACGUUAGCGGCGGACGGGUGAGUAACACGUGGAUAACCUACCUAUAAGACUGGGAUAACUUCGGGAAACCGGAGCUAAUACCGGAUAAUAUAUUGAACCGCAUGGUUCAAUAGUGAAAGACGGUUUUGCUGUCACUUAUAGAUGGAUCCGCGCCGCAUUAGCUAGUUGGUAAGGUAACGGCUUACCAAGGCGACGAUGCGUAGCCGACCUGAGAGGGUGAUCGGCCACACUGGAACUGAGACACGGUCCAGACCCCUACGGGAGGCAGCAGGAGGGAAUCUUCCGCAAUGGGCGAAAGCCUGACGGAGCAACGCCGCGGGAGUGAUGAAGGUCUUCGGAUCGUAAAACUCUGUUAUUAGGGAAGAACAAAUGUGUAAGUAACUAUGCACGUCUUGACGGGACCUAAUCAGAAAGCCACGGCUAACUACGU